AUGACAGUAGAGCCGACAACAACUAUGUUUUCCAUCAUUCCCAUCUGCAUAUUGGCCAUUGGUAUUCAAGGUUCAAAUGGACAAGUGACAGCAACUCAAACUCCUCAAGUCCUAACUUCUCAACGUGAUGAAACUGUCAAAAUAAACUGCAAAACCAACUCGCCUGUUGCUGACUGUAGUCUCUGGAGGAACUGUGUGUUCUGGUACCAGCACAAACCUGGGCACGCUCCCAAACUCCUCAUUUAUUGCAUACGCGAACGGCACUCUAACGUCCCAUCUAGAUUCAGCGGCAAUGGCGCUCACACUGACUUCAGUCUGACCAUCAGUGGAGUCCAGAAAGAAGAUGAAGCGCAAUAUUACUGUAUGACCCGACACAAGAUUGACAACAAGUAUGUGUUCACACAGUGA